rnacentral:rRNA from 1 species
UACGAAGGGGGCUAGCGUUGCUCGGAAUCACUGGGCGUAAAGGGCGCGUAGGCGGCCAUUCAAGUCAGGGGUGAAAGCCCAAGGCUCAACCUUGGAAUUGCCUUUGAUACUGUUUGGCUUGAGACCGGAAGAGGUCGGCGGAACUGCGAGUGUAGAGGUGAAAUUCGUAGAUAUUCGCAAGAACACCAGUGGCGAAGGCGGCCGACUGGUCCGGUUCUGACGCUGAGGCGCUAAAGCGUGGGGAGCAAACAGG